UCCAAAAACAUGUCUUUUUUGAUAAUAAUUUACAGGUCUGACUGCCCACUGAUAAAGUUGAAGGGCUGCAGUAUUUUGACUGUACAAAGGUAGCAUAAUCAUUAGUUUUUUAAUUUGAGACUGGAAUGAAUGGUUUGACGAAGUAUUAACUGUCUUGGGAUAAUUAAUUAGAAUUUAAUUUUUGGGUUAAAAAGCUUAAAUUAAAUUGGAGGACGAGAAGACCCUAUAGAGCUUUAUAAAUGAAAGUAUAUUCUUUUUUGGGGGUUUGUGAAGUAUUAUAUUAAAAUUUAUUUUAUUGGGGUGAUAUGAAGAAUAGAUAAACUCUUUAUAAUUGGGGCNGNGGGUGAAUGGAUUGUUGAUCCAUUUUUAGUGAUUAUAAGAUUAAGUUACCUUAGGGAUAACAGCGUAAUUUUGUUUGAGAGUUCAAAUCGACAAGAGGGAUUGCGACCUCGAUGUUGGAUUAAGGAUAAAAAUUGGGUGUAGAAUUCAANAUUUAAUCU
rnacentral:rRNA from 1 species